rnacentral:rRNA from 1 species
GACGUAGGGCGCGAGCGUUGUCCGGAUUUAUUGGGCGUAAAGAGCUCGUAGGCGGUUUGUCGCGUCGUCCGUGAAAACUCACAGCUUAACUGUGAGCUUGCGGUCGAUACGGGCAGGCUAGAGUUCGGUAGGGGAGACUGGAAUUCCUGGUGUAGCGGUGAAAUGCGCAGAUAUCAGGAGGAACACCGAUGGCGAAGGCAGAUCUCUGGGCCGUAACUGACGCUGAGGAGCGAAAGCGUGGGGAGCGAACAGG